AACAGAUUCUGGAGCAGUUUCAGUCAAGAGGGUAUUCACAGCUGAUCACUUCUGCCACUACAGACAAGAACACCCUGCUUGACCUCAUUUUUAUUUCUCAUCCAAAGCACAGUCUACAUUCAGGUGUCUUGAGAACAUAUUACAGUUACCACAACCCUGUGUUUUGUGUUCUGUCCUCGAGCCAAUCAUGAAGUCGUGUGGUGAGUUUUCAAACAAUUAUAGAUCAUGUUUGUUACAGAGUUUACUGAUUGUAGAGUAUGAAAAAGAUUUUCUGUUGAUAAUGGAAGGCUUCCCAAAAAUUAGUUUCCCUGCUCUGUCUGUAAGAAGACCAUCCUUCAAUUUAUCAAACCUUUCUCAUUGCAAUGUUAUUAAUCAUUUCACCAAAUCAUGGCUGUACUUCAUGCAGAGCAGGGAGAUCUGCCUUCUGUUAUCAUGCACCUCUGAUCUGAAAUGUGCUGCAAAAAGUAUUAAACAGACAUCAUUUAUUUUUUAUUCUCAUGUUUUAAAUGACUAAAUCUACUAUUUUAAAAUGCAUUUUUUCAUGGAUGUUAAUUGUCAUCUCCUUUUUUGAUACUUUAAUUUAUUGUGACAUAUGUAUCUCAACAAACAAGAUCUUUGUUGAGGGCUUUUAAAUAUGAAAUAGUAAAUAAAUAAAUCCCAGAUAAAUGCAGGUAUUUAUUAUUGGGCACAUAAAUAAAUACAGACAAUUAUAUUUUCUUGAUUACAGUAGAUUUUGUAGAAUCAAAUGUUUUUGGGAUAAAUGAGGUUUUGCUUAUCAUGUUUUACAGGUAAAAAAAAAUGUUAAAAGUUUUAAACUAUCUUUAGGCUACCAGAGAUGUCUAUAACGAUACAUUACGUAGAGAAAAACAUUUUUACAGCUUACAGAAUAUGUAUAAAAACUGAUUUAGAAGUACAUGGAAAGUUUCUGCAUCCAUUUUCUGACUUGGCCUUUAUCCGGGUGGGUUUGGGUUUGGGUGGAUAAAGGCCAAGUCAGAAUUUUCUGAGCAUCUGCAAAAAGACAUCAGAAAGUGUGGGCUUUAGGUGUAGCCCACGCUUUCUGAUGCACUAAUUAGAUUUAGUAACUGACACCCCAUACCAGCAAUAUAUUGACACUUGGGGGCUGAGCUGGGUGGGUUGGGAGGGUGGGUGGUGUUAAAAGCACUUUAUGUUUUGUAGAUGUAUUUUUUCAGACAGGGCACACACAGUCCUGUUUCCUUUGUGGGAAAACCUUCAAACGUCACCAUCAUCAGCUGAAACAACAACAUCUUAACCAUCUUCAUGAACUGCUGAGCCAAACCUGAUCCAUCAGUGCUGGACCGCACAGAUAACUACAUGCCACAAGGAGACUGCUCUUUUAUGAACUGCCAUACCAGUGUGUCUUCCAUGGAGAAGAUGACACACCCAUCACCUGACCUCCUGCCUAAUCUGGAGACCAUCAUCAUGUUGCCACACUACACACCUCUGAAACCAUCAAGGAUGACUCAUACCGAGGAAACUGUAUUUCCUGUCAGAGAUGCUCAGUGAUCCUCAGAGCAGAGAGAGGUAUCUUCUGAGUUCUUCAGUGUCCCAACUGAGACAUUCAACCCUCAUCACAGAGCUCGUGUCUUUCCUCACCAUCAUGUGAGUGUGAGAUUGCUCUGGAGUCUGGUGGCCUGCAGCAUCUAUGAGAACAAGCUUGUCCUGUGUGCCUGCAUUCCAGCUUCUUAGACUCUACGCAAGUGGACAGAGUAUCAGUGUUUGACCACUCUUACAGACACCGACUUCUGUCAACUCACUGCUACUGAUCAGGCACCUCACUCCAGGAAGACAGAGGGUUGCAAGCCUGUCAUCAUUUCCAGUGUGGCUUUGUAUUCUUGGGGUAGCAUCAGAUUUUUCCCACAAAUAUUCAAAGAUUUAUAUGCAGUGAUCGGAUGUGGUGGAGCUUUGUUAACUGUGUGGAAAACAUCUGUUUGUGAUGCUAUUUACAAUGAGGCUGUAAGGUUUCAGUUUUGUCUUUUGGACUUAUGGUUAACAUUCCUCUGUGACAGCAAAUACUAAACUGGUCCAAGUGACCAGCAUAUCAUUGGUGGAGGGUAAAAAGGACCACAAUGAAUUUUUGACUGUGUUUGUGUCACCAGAUUUAACAAACAAUAUCAGACAUAUGAAACUGAACUCUGGAUUAAUGUGCAGAUAUACUGUUUUUUGUGGGUGGUUUUUGUUUUUGUUUUUUGUUAUUUUGUAGAACAAACCCAAUCUAUUUACCCAAACCAUAUAACUUGUUUUGGUAAAUAGUGGAUUGAUAUAUCUAAGUCUAUAAGUAUAGCAAGCUGAAUUCAUACAAACACACAGCUCUAAAUCUUGAAUUGUAGGAUGUACAAAAAUGAUCAUGUGAUUAUUAUGGACAUUUAAAUAACUAUAUCUAUUGAACCAUUACACGUAUUCUUUAUAGA